CAACAAAUAUCAAUGUUAUCAAGAUAACAUUGACGAUUGAUGAGGUGAACGGUGUCGCCGUGUUGUAUACAAGUGAUUUAUUAAAUGAAUUAACUGACCUUUUCCAACUAUACCAGAAUUACUCGUGCUCUGCUAUAUUCUCUGUCGUCCCGGAUGUAUUGGAAUGUCGGAUAAUCCAAUUCCGUAACGGGAGUAUUAUGGCAGACAUUGAACUUAGUGUUUCAGAUCUAACUGUAACUGGUAACGACGUUGAAUCUAUACUCAGAAAUGCAGCUGUCAAUGGAGUUCUUGUCACAGAAGAUGAUGUAACGCUCGCGGUAGAUCCAUUGACUAUCCAUUAUAUUGGUGGUACGACAGUUCCAAUGCAAACAACAGGUUCGUUUAUUUCAGAUUAAAUCCAUCUAUAAAUCCAUAGCAAUUAUAUAAAAUCAUUAAUACAGUAGAACCCCUCCUUUAGGACACCCCUAUUUAGAGGACAUCCCUAUUAAGGGAUACUUUUAAUUGAAACGAGGGGCGAUACCGGUAUAUCUUUUUCAUUUUUUUCAUUUCAUAUACAUUUAUUCAAUCAAUGGACGAACAUAACGUAAAUCAUUAAAUUAAAAAAAUAUAAUUCUAUCGAUAAGGAUCAAGUUCUUUUAACACUGCAGCCAACCCCUAUUAAGGGGACACCCCUAUUAAGGGGAUGGGGACACUUUCUGAGUGUAACAAAUGGUUAAAUAACCCCUAUUAAGGGGACACUUAUUUUCUUCUAUUGUAUCACAACAAAUAGGCCUACAACAGUCUCAAAGUAAGAACAAAAUUCAAUCAACUUUUAUAUUGAGACACAUUUUGAGCAACUUAUUAAGGAACUUUCAUCGCCUUUCUAACCAUAAUUAUAAUAAUUAAUUUUAAUUGUAC